rnacentral:sRNA from 1 species
UAUUCUGCCCCAUGGGGAAGGAUGAGAAGCUUCGACUAAGGUUCGACUCGAGCGAAGCGAGAGAACGUUGCCGCAGGC